rnacentral:rRNA from 1 species
UACGUAUGGGGUAAGCGUUAUCCGGAUUCAUUGGGCGUAAAGAGCUCGUAGGCGGCAGUGUAAGCCAGGAGUUAAAGGCAACAGCUUAACUGUUGUAAGGCUUUUGAAACUACAUUGCUAGAGUACCAGAGAGGUAAGCGGAAUUUCCUGUGUAGCGGUGAAAUGCGUAGAUAUAGGAAGGAACACCGGUUGCGAAGGCGGCUUACUGGCUGGUAACUGACGCUGAGGAGCGAAAGCGUGGGUAGCAAACAGGAUUAGAUACCCUGGUAGUCCACGCUGUAAACGAUGGGUGCUAGGUGUUGGAAGUAACCACUUUCAGUGCCGAAGCUAACGCAUUAAGCACCCCGCCUGGGGAGUACGUACGCAAGUAUGAA